UACGGGGGGGGCAAGCGUUGUUCGGAAUUACUGGGCGUAAAGGGCUCGUAGGCGGCCAACUAAGUCAGACGUGAAAUCCCUCGGCUUAACCGGGGAACUGCAUCUGAUACUGGAUGGCUUGAGUUCGGGAGAGGGAUGCGGAAUUCCAGGUGUAGCGGUGAAAUGCGUAGAUAUCUGGAGGAACACCGGUGGCGAAGGCGGCCACCUGGACGGUCACUGACGCUGAGACGCGAAAGCGUGGGGAGCGAACAGG
rnacentral:rRNA from 1 species